GUCCUUUCGCAUUUCACGAUGACCGAAAUCUAAGCCAGCAACAGCAUCUUGCACUUCGUACGAGAACUCGUAGUUCGCUGGAUCCUAAAAUUUUAAAAAAAAGAUAAAAAAAAGGAAUCAAGCAAAUAAAAAAAAAAUCGAACAUAGAAAAUUUAUAAAAGUCUAAUAAUCGACGUGAGAAAUUGCUCAUAUGAUCCAACUGUUUUAAAUCUUAGAUAUUUAUCAAUGACCCCAUUCAUCUGGAUGUCCUGUGCCACCUCCAGGUGUACCAGAAGGACGAGAUACACUAGGAGGAAGAUAAGCAGGUCCUUGAGGUUCGCCUCGAAUUCCUAUCAGCAUCGUUGCUACUAAUAAUGCCUAUAAAAUUAAAAAAAAAAAAAAAAAAAUGUAUAUGUACGAUUAAAUUUAUGAAAUCGUUCUUUGAAGAAGAAAAAAAAAGACAAAAUGAAAAAUAAAAAAAUAACAAUACAAAAUAAAGUUAUAUUAACAUAAAAUUUAAUAAAAAAAAUGUAAAAGAAAGAUGGAAAUAUAUUUCCAUUUAUAAAAAUAUAA